rnacentral:rRNA from 1 species
AUGAGGAGAGGGAAGGAUCGAGUAAUGUGUGUAGAGUACACGAGCGGCGGACGGCUGAGUAACGCGUAGGAACGUACCCAAACGUAGAGGGAUAAGCACCGGAAACGGUGUCUAAUACCGCAUGUGGUCUUCGGAUUAAAGCUUCGGCGCUUUGGGAGCGGCCUGCGUAUGAUUAGUUUGUUGGUGAGGUAAUGGCUCACCAAGGCUUCGAUCAUUAGCUGGUCUGAGAGGAUGAUCAGCCAGACUGGGACUGAGAACGGCCCAGACUCCUACGGGAGGGCAGCAGUAGGGAAUUUCCACAAUGGACGAAAGUCUGAUGGAGCAACGCCGCGUGCAGGAUGAAGGCUUUCGGGUCGUAAACUGCUUUUAUAUGUGACGAUUUUGACGGUAGCAUAUGAAUAAGGAUCGGCUAACUCCGUG